AUACGAAGGGGGCUAGCGUUGUUCGGAAUUACUGGGCGUAAAGCGCGUGUAGGCGGAUCGUUAAGUCAGGGGUGAAAGCCCGGGGCUCAACCCCGGAACUGCCCUUGAUACUGGCGAUCUAGAGUCCGGAAGAGGUGGGCGGAAUUCCCGGUGUAGAGGUGAAAUUCGUAGAUAUCGGGAGGAACACCAGUGGCGAAGGCGGCUCACUGGUCCGGUACUGACGCUGAGACGCGAAAGCGUGGGGAGCAAACAGGAUUAGAAACCCUAGUAGUCC
rnacentral:rRNA from 1 species